rnacentral:rRNA from 1 species
GAGUUUGAUCAUGGCUCAGAACGAACGCUGGCGGCAUGCCUAACACAUGCAAGUCGAACGAGACCUUCGGGUCUAGUGGCGCACGGGUGCGUAACGCGUGGGAAUCUGCCCAAAGGUACGGAAUAACUCCUCGAAAGGGGUGCUAAUACCGUAUGAUGUCGCAAGACCAAAGAUUUAUCGCCUUUGGAUGAGCCCGCGUAGGAUUAGCUAGUUGGUGGGGUAAAGGCCUACCAAGGCGACGAUCCUUAGCUGGUCUGAGAGGAUGAUCAGCCACACUGGGACUGAGACACGGCCCAGACUCCUACGGGAGGCAGCAGUGGGGAAUAUUGGACAAUGGGCGAAAGCCUGAUCCAGCAAUGCCGCGUGAGUGAUGAAGGCCCUAGGGUUGUAAAGCUCUUUUACCCGGGAUGAUAAUGACAGUACCGGGAGAAUAAGCCCGGCUAACUCCGUGCCAGCCGCCGCGGUAAG